UUCCAGACUCCUACGGGAGGCAGCAGUGAGGAAUAUUGGUCAAUGGUCGGGAGACUGAACCAGCCAAGUCGCGUGAGGGAAUAAGGCCCUACGGGUCGUAAACCUCUUUUGCCGGGGAGCAAGGGCGGGGACGUGUCCCGGCCCGGAGAGUACCCGGAGAAAAAGCAUCGGCUAACUCCGUGCCAGCAGCCGCGGUAAUACGGAGGAUGCGAGCGUUAUCCGGAUUUAUUGGGUUUAAAGGGUGCGCAGGCGGAAUGUCAAGUCAGCGGUAAAAUUUCGGGGCUCAACCCCGUCGUGCCGUUGAAACUGGCGUUCUUGAGUGAGCGAGAAGUAUGCGGAAUGCGUGGUGUAGCGGUGAAAUGCAUAGAUAUCACGCAGAACUCCGAUUGCGAAGGCAGCAUACCGGCGCUCAACUGACGCUCAUGCACGAAAGCGUGGGUAUCGAACAGGAUUAGAUACCCCAGUAGA
rnacentral:rRNA from 1 species